rnacentral:sRNA from 1 species
CCAUCACAAUCUGUUGCUUCUCAAGAUGCCCAGGAAAUAAUCCGCCCACGUCGAUGUAAAUAUUUUGAUACAAAUAGUGAAGUAGAAGAAGAAUCUGAAGAAGAUGAAGAUUAUAUUCCAUCAGAAGACUGGAAAAAGGUAGUUAGAACAAUAUUUUUCCAAAAUUUAGAUAAAUUAAUAUUUUUUUAAAAAGCCUCGUGUAAUUUUUUUUUUUUUUACUAACUAUGUAUAUUGAUAAAAUCGAUGUAAGCCCUUUUAUGACAUUUAAAUGUUUGGUAAAUGUUCAGAUUCCUUCUUAACACAUCUAGGUUAGAUUAGAAAUCUACAUUUCUGGCGGGGUGUGGUGGCUCACACCUGUUAUCCCAGCACUUGGGAGGCUGAGGCAGGCGGAUCGCUUGAGCCCAGGAGUUCGAGACCAGCCUGGGCAGCGUUGCGGGACCCUGUCUCAUUUUAUAAAACAAAACAAAAAAUAA